UGGGGAAUUUUGGACAAUGGGCGAAAGCCUGAUCCAGCAAUGCCGCGUGUGUGAAGAAGGCCUUCGGGUUGUAAAGCACUUUUGUCCGGAAAGAAAUCCUUGGCUCUAAUAUAGUCGGGGGAUGACGGUACCGGAAGAAUAAGCACCGGCUAACUACGUGCCAGCAGCCGCGGUAAUACGUAGGGUGCAAGCGUUAAUCGGAAUUACUGGGCGUAAAGCGUGCGCAGGCGGUUUGCUAAGACCGAUGUGAAAUCCCCGGGCUCAACCUGGGAACUGCAUUGGUGACUGGCAGGCUAGAGUAUGGCAGAGGGGGGUAGAAUUCCACGUGUAGCAGUGAAAUGCGUAGAGAUGUGGAGGAAUACCGAUGGCGAAGGCAGCCCCCUGGGCCAAUACUGACGCUCAUGCACGAAAGCGUGGGGAGCAAACAGGAUUAGAUACCCUGGUAGUCCACGCCCUAAACGAUGUCAACUAGUUGUUGGGGAUUCAUUUCCUUAGUAACGUAGCUAACGCGUGAAGUUGACC
rnacentral:rRNA from 1 species